rnacentral:rRNA from 1 species
AUUGAACGCUGGCGGCAGGCCUAACACAUGCAAGUCGAACGAGUGGCGGACGGGUGAGUAAUGUCUGGGAAUCUGCCUGAUGGAGGGGGAUAACUUCGGGAAACGUUAGCUAAUACCGCAUACGAUCGAAUGUGCCCAGGUGGGAUUAGCUAGUUGGUGGGGUAAUGGCUCACCAAGGCGACGAUCCCUAGCUGGUCUGAGAGGAUGACCAGCCACACUGGAACUGAGACACGGUCCAGACUCCUACGGGAGGCAGCAGUGGGGAAUAUUGCACAAUGGGCGCAAGCCUGAUCCAGCCAUGCCGCGUGUGUGAAGAAGGCCUUCGGGUUGUAAAGCACUUUUGGUGGGGAAGCGGUACCCGAAGAAGAAGCACCGGCUAACUCCGUGCCAGCAGCCGCGGUAAUAC